rnacentral:rRNA from 1 species
AUUAUGUUUUGCAAAGAAUGUUUUAGUUCAAUAACUGAUGAAGAAUGCAGCAAAAUGCAUUAUGCAUUGUGAAUUGCAGAAUUCCGUGAGCUAACAGAUGUUUGAAUGUUACUUGUGCCUUUGGGAUAUUCUUGAAGGUUUGCUUGAUUCAAUGCCAAUUAC